AUGACACUGUUUUGUCUUCUGUAUCUGGUGACUGCACUUCCUGGUAUCCUGUCCCAGGUACAGCUUCAGGAGUCAGGAGAUGGCCUGGUGAAGCCCUCUCAAACACUGUCCCUCACCUGCUCUGUCACUGGUUACUCCAUCACCAGUGGUUACUACUGGACAUGGAUCAGACAGCCUUCUGGGAGGAAUAUGGAGUGGAUGGGGUACAUAAGUUAUGGUGGUAGCACAUACUACAACCCAUCCCUCAAGAGCCACAUCUCCAUCACCAGAGAAACAUCUAAGAACCAGUUCUUCCUGCAGCUGAACUCUGUGACCACUGAGGACACAGCCACUUACUUCUGUGCAAGACACACAGUGAGAAAACUUUACCAUGAGCCCAGACACAAACCUCCCUGCAGAGGAGCUCUGGGUCAGCAGGGGGCGCACAGCUCUCACCAAGCCCAAGAAACUCUAAGACCAGAACUUGCAGAAAAACUCCUUGUUUUCUCUGGCUUGGCUUCUCACUCCCUAAGGGCAAAGAGGCUUUGGGGUCACAUCUCUCUCUGA